GGUAAAAUCAAAAUAACACAUUGAAUAUGCAACUAUCUUCCACUAAAUGUUGCUAAUAUAUGAUUUUUGGCUGAAAAUUUAAAUUAAAAAAAAAAAGAACAGAUCAAUGUAUGUGAUCACAGGAUACAUAGGCAUCGAAUACAGCAGCCCAACCUUAGCCUCCGCCAUAAACAAUAUCACUCCUGCUCUUACCUUUAUCCUCGCCGUUAUCUUCAGGUUUUUGUUACUUUUACUAAUUACUAAUUAUAUAUAAAUUGUUUUGCUGAUUUAAGAUUUUUUUCAUUCAGAUUAAUACAGAAUAUUCUAGUCAACAAGUCGAAAUUGUAAACAUUCCGGCUUAAUUAAUUUUAAUAAUUAUAAUAUGUUCUUUAGAUCAAUUACGUCAAACUUCCCCAAUGAUUUUUUUCAAUUCGACAAAUUAUGUUUUUCUUAGAUCAUGUUAGUUUUCACUUCACUAUAGUUUUGUAACCAAUUCUUUUCCACUAGCUGUCUUACCUAAUAUAGAAUAUUUGUUCACCCCUAUAUCCCACAACUAAUGUCUCAUCCUCUUAUUUACAGUAAAUUAGGUAAACAAUGUUAGGUAAAUAAUAAAUGUCAGAAGAGUACCAAUAAAAGAUUGGGUGAAAUUUAACUUUAUCAAAUAUAUAUAUACAAAUAUAAUCAUUUGGAUCAUUUUAAGAUAUACUAAUAUUCAACAAGCUAAAUAGUAACUAUAACUCUAAGAUAAUAAGAUCACACUAUUAAACAAAUCUAAAUUCAUUUGAUUUGUUGUAUUUCGUGUAGCUGAUAAAGACUUUUAAGUAAUUAGGUAAAUAAUCUAUAUAUAUGGUAAAUGCGUUUUAAUUGUUCUUCUUUCUUUCUUUCAUUCUUUCAUUCUUUCUUUCUUUCAAUGCAUAUAUUUAUUCAGGUUUUUGGCAUCUAUAUUUAUGGUAAUUGAUAUGAAGAUAAGUUUGUUACUAUCGCACUAUUGCACUAUUGCACAAUCUUGUGGUCCAUAUCUAACAAGGCUGUUUGCAUGAACAGAAUAAAUGCGUCUUAAUUUGUGUUUCAUAACUUUCAUUGAUUAUUUCUUGGCCUUCUUUGGAAUAAAACGUAACACAAUAAAUUCCAUUUUGUGAAUAAAGAAUGGAAAAAGUAUCUUUCAAAGAGAGAAGCAGUGUAGCCAAAGUGAUGGGGACGAUAUUGUCACUAAUAGGUGCCCUUGUGGUGAUUUUCUACCGCGGUCCACGUGUCUCCGUAGCAUCUUCUCCGCCGUAUCUAAACUUCCGACAGCAUUCCCCACCGUUGUCAUCUUCAAACUCCGAUUGGCUCAUCGGUGGAGCUCUUCUAACCAUACAAGGCAUCUUCGUUUCUGUCUCUUUCAUUCUCCAGGUAAUACUUUUUUUUCUUAUACAUCUAUAAUAGAAAUAAUUUCAUUCUAAUGAUAUAACGAUUUUGGACAGGCACAUAUAAUGAGUGAAUAUCCAGCAGCAUUUAGAGUCUCCUUUCUUUACACUGUAUGUGUUUCAAUCGUGACCUCAACGAUUGGACUAGUAGCCGAAAAGAACAAUCCAAGCGUUUGGAUCAUUCAUUUUGAUAUUACUUUGAUUACGAUUGUUACUAUGGUAUGUUAUGUAAAAUUUUUUUAAAUAUUAUCAAAAUCUUUUCUUUUUGAUUUUAACAUAGUUUUGUUUUUUAUAUAAAAUAUUUCAGGCAAUAAUAACUUCAGUAUACUAUGUGAUUCAUUCAUGGACAGUACGUCACAAAGGACCUCUAUACUUAGCGAUAUUUAAGCCUUUGUCGAUUUUAAUAGCAGUGGUUAUGGGGGGCAUUUUUCUCAACGAUUCUCUCUAUCUCGGAUGGUAUAUGAAUCAAUAGUCUUCAUACACAUAUCUAUAAACAAAACAUUUGCUCAUCAUCUUCGAUUUUGUCCUUUGUUUUGCAGUUUGAUCGGAGGAAUUUUGAUAUCAUUAGGCUUCUACGCUGUGAUGUGGGGCAAAGCAAACGAAGAGAAGGACCAGUUGUUAUCAUUUUCUGGAAAAGAGAAAACCCCUCUUCUAUUGAGUGGCGAGAACGACCAAAUUUAAAUAAGAAAAUAAAUUAAAAUCAUGGAUAAUCUCUUAUAUAACGUGCAAAUUGCUUUGUAUAGAACUUAAAGAUGACUAUCUAAUUGUUUUUAAGUUACGUAUAUUGAACGACUAUCUAAAUUCAUUAGAUCAUGUAUAUACGCAAUAGCUUAUAAUUUAUUGGACCCAAUAUUAUAAAGUCAACAAACGAUAAUUAUUGGACCCACAGAAUGCCAUUCCUUUAUAUUGUAACAUCAAGAAAAGCAACAAAAUAAUAAUGAAUUAGAGACUCACAAUUCACACUACUCUUUCUAUCAUUUCCAAUAAUGGCCGGGACAUUAAGUCUCUGGCGGAGAGAGGCCUUGUUCUUGACGGCGAUGCUGGCGACUGAAACCGGCGUCGUUGGAAUGAGUACUUUGUUUAAAGUAGCAACUUCAAAGGGGCUCAAUCUUUAUGCUUUCCUCGGCUAUUCUUAUCUUCUUGCUUCUCUCGUUCUUCUUCCUUCUUUUUUCUUCUCCAACAGGUUUCUAAUAACUUUAUUCUUUAAGACCAUUUAUAACCAUUAUUUUGUAUUGAUUUCAAUUCAUUUGUAUAUUUUUUUGUUUUCCUUUACAGGUCAAGAUCACUUCCUCCCCUAAGUUUCGCAAUACUUUGUAAAAUAGGACUUCUUGGAUUAUUAGGGUAAAGUCUAAUUAACACAAUCUUUUUUUCCAAUUUUAAAUAUGAAAUUAUGUCCCUAUUUGUUAAUAUGUUAUUUUAUGGGGCCAUUCUAAUAAAUGGUUUUUGGCUGAAAAAAAAAAAACACAACAGAUCAAUGUAUGUGAUCACAGGAUACAUAGGCAUCAAAUACAGCAACCCAACCUUAGCCUCUGCCAUUAGCAAUAUCACUCCUGCUCUUACCUUUAUCCUCGCCAUUAUCUUCAGGUUUGAUUUUUUUCUUUUCCCAAUAUUUGCAGAUUUCAGAUUAUUCUAAAAACAGACUAUUCUAGUUCACAGCCGAAAUUGUAACAAUUUCUUCCCAGGCAUAAUCAGCUAAAUAAGGCAACUUAAAAUUGAAUAUUGUUUUUAGUUCACCAACUUAAGUUUUUUUUUUUAAGUUGGAUCAUGUUAGGUUUUCCUAAUUUGGUAAUUCACUAAUUCCUAGUUGCCAAUUGCGGAGCCCUAUGCGGCUAUGCUACCACUAUCUCAGAUACAUAUGUAUAUGUAUAGUGAAUUCGGUAAACGACGAGUGGUGAAAAUUUAAUUAUAUAAAUAAAUAUGCUAAAGUUGUUAAUAUAAAAUAAAAUAAAGGUGAUCGUGAAAAUUUUAGAUAAAAAUAU
rnacentral:lncRNA from 1 species